GCAUGAGCCACCAUGCCUGUCCCAUUGCAGCCAUUUUUAAGUGUGCACAAUUUAGUGAUAUAUUUCCAUUGUUGUGCAAGACAAUGUUUUUUAGAGUGUUAGAUGUUCAUUAUUAUUGAGCAGAAAAAAAUGGAAUUGGAAGGCAAGUCGGUAAUGCCUAUUUUUGCUUAAAGUCACCUGAAACAUGAUAUUCCCGUUUGUCAUCUGUAAAACCAUGAAGUUCCAGGGAAGUGUUGGUGGACAUUUGCAUGUUUGUGACGUGAUGGCCUGUGAGGGAAUCUCUGGGCUCGCAGCAAGCUUGGGAACUUUGGACUGUGGCUGUCUGGUAGCUUAGAAUAGCAGAAUAACUGGUGGGUGGGGGCAAGAAUCUGCUUCAUAAUUGUUUUUCCAGUGGUCAGCUUAAUAAAUUACCUCUCUUAUAGCAUCCAUUCAGAGCUUUUAAAAUUCAUUUUAAAAUGCAAUCAUGGGCGGGGCGCGGUGGCUCAUGCCUGUAAUCCCAGCACUUUGGGAGGCCGAGGCGGGUGGAUCACUUGAGGUCAGGAGUUCGAGACCAGCCUGACCAACAUGGUGAAACCCCAUCUCUAUUAAAUGCAAAAAAUUAGCCAGGCAUGGUGGUGCAUGCCUGUAAUCCCAGCUACUUGGAAGGCUGAGGCAGGAGAAUCGCUUGAACCUGGGAGGCGGAGGUUGCAGUGAGCUGAGAUUGUGCCAUUGCACUCCAGCCUGGGCAACAAGAGCAAAACUCCGUCUCAAAAAAAUAAAUGCAAUCAUAUAUUGCAUUUUGAAAGUCUUAACCACUUCAGGGGUAGGAGAGGACAAUAAACUCAAGAAAAAAUUCUCCUGGACAGAUCAUUCCUAGGGCUCUUCUAUCGACUCCCUGAGUAUCCAUCACUCACAGAAUGCUUCAUUAAUUGGUAAGAAAACCCACUGAAGAAAUAGAAUAGUGGUACUCAUUUUCAAGAUUUAUCUUAUCUGUAUGCAACCUCUCCCUUUCCCUUCCUUGUAUUAAUCCCUAAAAACGCCUGUAAACAUUUUGUUCAUAUUGUUAAAUAUUAACUCAGGACGUUGCUCAUUAUCCGUAACACAGCUAUAGGCUUGGCCCUGUUGUUUGCCAUGUUCUGCCAUAAAG
rnacentral:lncRNA from 10 species